rnacentral:lncRNA from 1 species
UUUUUAUCCCCAGGGUAAAACCAUUUGCCUAGUGGCCCGUACUGUUCACAGGUGAUGCAAAAGUUGUGUUUCUAUUAAGCCUGUUUCAGCCAUAAAUUUUCAUUUUUCCUUAGGUAUUACAGAGAAAGGCUAGGGAAAAAAAGGCAAUAUCUAUGGAGUUACUUUAUAUGACCAGAAGAGUGUAACUGAAAGUUAAAUGUAUAACAUCAGGUAUGGGGAAAGGGGUGAGAAUUUGAUUCAUGGUGCACCUCAAUUCCAUGAAUAACUAGCAGGUUACAAUGGAGUUCUGAGUUUCAACACUGAGGGAAAAUGUGAGUAGUGUUUGUUGAAAUUCACUUAUACUGUUCUCACUCUGUGAAGGCACUCCACAAGGACUAGAAGAAUCAAAAUCAUCAUUACCUUAGAUCACAGCUCAUUAGCAUUGCUACUAAAAGCUCCCUAAGUUACCACUUAUGUGCUUUUCAGACACAGCAUAAGGAGAUCAGUAACCAUUGCUGCCUUUAAAAUGGCAAAAAAAAAAAAAAAUUCAAUAAUGCAUCACAAAAUUUUAUACUUCCUUUUUAUCAUGCAUAUUCAAAUCUAUUUUGUUUAAAAAAGCAAAAACUAUGUCUGUAAAAUCAAGCUGGAGAGUUGAUUGAAUAUGUUGUUAAUGCAGUCUUUCCCCACCAAACAAACAGCAUAUUUGAAUUUGAUUUGAUAUCUGUAGAAAGGAAACCACAAUGUUACCUGUUAGAUAGGUGAGAACAAAUUAGGUAUUCUCUUGCUCUCUUUGGGUGAUCUCAAUUUACUUAAAAAAACCAUUUGGUAAGAUAUCUAUAAUGUCUCUGGCACUUAAAGUUGUGACUAGAAAAUAGUUUUCUACUUUAAAAAUAAAUGUCUUGGCUUCACUCCAACAUUUAUUUUCAAUAAAUGCCUAAGCAUUUAUCUUGCAGCAGGAGACCAUUAUCCAGUCACAACGUUCAAUUCCUUUGACAUUAUCUCUUAAGUAAAACAGUAGCGUAAAGAAUAAAGGACUUGCCAAUUGAAAGAGUGCAUUAGUAUGCUAGGUGGGUGAACAAAUGCUGUGGGUGAAAAUCACCUCUCCUCCCAAAUCAACAUUUGAGUGGAAGAAGCACAUGUUUUCUUUUCUUCAGACAUACUGUGUAUGGGGAAUUGUGGUAAAAAGCUUUACAAAGUAAGCCAGAAAGUGAAUAUACUAGCAUAUUCUAGUUUAAUGUUGUCUCUCAUAUAAUUCAAUUUCCUAUAGCAUUUGGUGUGUUACAUAGACUUUCUUGAAUGUUUGUGUGCAGUGGAGGUUCACAUGAUCUGUAUUAGCUCUGAGAGAUCUUCACUUAACCUAAUUAAGGUGCACUUGUUAUGAUAAGCUCUGUGAUAUGACAACCUGUAUGCUGCUCCUCUUCUUCCAAUAAUCACUGGAGAUUUUGGUUUCCUGGAAUUGUAAUCAAUUCAGAAGGCUAAACCUAUUUUGAUAAGAAGCAUUUUCUGAGGUAAUAGGUGUCUAAGAACAGAUAUUCAUUAUGAGAUUUAUUGUCUGCAUUUUGUAGCCAAUCACUGUUACAGUGGUAGAGGAAGUAAGACAUCCUAGAGAACCCUUCAGAAGAGGGGAUCCAGGGAUCCCUGGGUGGCGCAGCGGUUUGGCGCCUGCCUUUGGCCCAGGGCGCAAUCCUGGAGACCCGGGAUCGAAUCCCACGUCAGGCUCCCGGUGCAUGGAGCCUGCUUCUCCCUCUGCCUGUGUCUCUGCCUCUCUCUCUCUCUCUCUCUGUGACUAUCAUAAAUUAAAAAAAAAAAAAAAAAAAAAAAAAAAAAAAAGAAGAGGGGAUCCAUUAAGCAAAAAUAACACAUCAGUGGGGAUGGAAAUGUGUUAAAAAAAACUCCUAGACACAGAACUGAUUAUUUCACCCCUCUGUUUUAUUUACUGAACUCCCUGCCAUCUGCUAAAAACCUCAGAAAUCCUCUAUGUAGAAUGGUAAGUCUUCACAUAGAUUAACAAGAAUUGUCAAGGGCUAGCUUAAAUCUACCAUUCUACCCAUUCUUUGGCAAAGCACCACCAGACUAUCAGCCAUUUCAUUCUUAUCCCCCGUCGUGGACAUGGACCAUAAGCUGAUAUUUUCUCUGUCUCAAAUAGGGAACAUUGUAAACAAACUUUAAGACAAGCCCCCUUGCCUCCCAACAAGACCACUGUUCCUAUUAGAAUAGCACAGAAGUAUCAACUAACUUGUUCAUAUUUAUAACUUUGGAACCCCACGCAAAGCAUAGUAUAUUUGACUUUCUGUGGUUUGAGCCCUGAAAUUGGAUUUUUUUCAUUUCCAUAAUUGAUUUUUUUUCACACUAAAGUUUGAGAAUCAUUGCUUUAUGGCUCUGUUCAAAUUAUUUUUCUUUUAUGGAACCUAUACGCAUCACCUCCAAUGGUAAUGAUCUUUCUUUUCCCUGAUUCCUAGAUCAAUUUGUUUAUAUUGCUAAAGUGGCACCUAUCACAUAGUUCCCCAUGCUACAAUUAUUUGCAAAUAUGUUUCAUCACCUAUGGGAAUGAGAUCCACCUUUCAUGUAUUAUUUUUUCUGCAGUACUUAGCCUAGAGCCCAGCAUAUUGUAGAAAGACAUUUCAUGAUCACAGAAAAAUAAAAAGCAGUGCUGUCUGUAUUUGACAUUCAAAUACAGAGAUAUCCUGAGGUCUAGGCAAGAGGGCAUGCAUAGGUGUCACCUUGGUCCUUGUAACUCAUUUUUCAGAAGGCUCUUUUCAGCCAUACAAAUGCAUAGAAGAUAGAGAUUAAAAUGGUUCCAGGAGCAGAGUGGUUAGAAAUCCUGUGUUGGAAACCCACAUUCAUCUUCAAGAAAGUAGUUCUCAGGCUGCCACUGUUAUAGGACAGGUCAUCAUAGAAGAAUUCAUGAUUCUUAAAAUUCACUGGGAAGAAAACCAAAGUCGUAUGUUGUCAGAUACUAUCCAAUUCCCUUGAUUCUGCAGACCAAUGAUAGGAGUUAGCACAUCAAGGUUGGCCAGGUAAAAUAACAAUUUUUUUCUAUUUAAAAAAUCUCAGUGCUAUAAUACAGAUACGAAGAUACGUACAAUAAGAUACGAAGAAAUGUUCCGAUGAAAGCUGUCAUAACUAUCAUUACAAAUGAGGAAAUAUACUUUUCCAAAAGAGAUUUAUAUUGAAAUAUAAAAAUUAGUCCACAUGAAACUUGUUAGUUACCACUAUAAAGAUGCUUCCAUGGAUAAUGUCCACCAAAAAAUGAAUAAAGGUUUCUUAUGAAAACAGUUGGCAAACAGCUUUUUUGGUCUUAGCAUCAUGAAAGAUCUGCUUCUCCUAAACAAGAAGUUAAUUUUUAUCCUAUGGAAAUAAUAAUUUUAGACUGAAGUCUGAGAUGUUCUGUCUUUCUUUCGGAUAAAUAGAAAACUCAGAAGUAAAUGGUAGCUUAAUUCUUAAAAGUGUAGAGCUAAGUGAUACAAAUUUCUGAAUACUAAUUUUAUUUCUGACUUUAGUUUUGUACUGUGACCCCUUACUCUGACUUUCUCAAUAGUUUGAUACAUCCUUUUGUACUGUAUGAACCCUUUCGUAAGAUUCUCCAAAUCUUUUGUAUAAUUACUUGGGAUUCAAAUAAACAACAUAAUCCCAAAACAUUUGCUUCCUCUUUUGUGUCAAUAGUCUAAUUUCUUCUGACUGCUGAAGUGUCAUGGUCUCAUUCUUAUAUUUUAAUUCCAAUAUAAACUGUCCAUGAAUAUUUCUGGUGGUGAAAAACUUCAUAUUUUAUCUACAGUGCAUUUGCCUCAGAGAGGGAUCAGAAAGGCAUCUGCACUGUGCUUCUCUCUGAUUAUUACUCUUUUAUUUUGAAUAUGGAAUUGAAAAUGACAGAUUUGAAAAGGAACUUUAAAUAGACUAUAGUGACAUCUAAAUUGAACAAAAAUUAUCAUCUUAAACAACAAUAAAUGUCAUAUUAAAAUAGCAAAAGGAAAAAAAUAAAAAAAUAAAAUAGCAAAAGGAAAAUAUCCUUCAGAUGACUAGGUCACCAAUUUAAAUCUUUUAAGAUCCUCUUUUUUCUGAAGGUCCAGCUGUCAUCAAAAAUGAACUCUGAUGAUCUUUCAAUUUCAGUGCUUUGGAAAAAAGUAUUUAAGAUUGCAAGUCAUUUCUGUAAAGCUCACAGGACAACUGGUACUCUAAAGUCAAUUCUCAAUUACCUUUGGCAUGAGUGAUAGGAUUACAUGGACAUUUGUUGACAAUUUUCAGACAUCCCUCAGCCAGUUCUCUCAAUAUCUCCUAUCACCAAGCUUUUCUUAGAAGGGCUGCUAACAAGAAGCAAAAUGUAAAGAUUUGAGUUGUACCUCAUUUCACUUCUGCAAGCUUACAGAGGAAAAUGAAAUUUCUAAAGAUAUCUUAUUGAAAACAAAACACGAAGAGAGGAAACAAAGGUAACCAACAUAGAAAACCUGGCACCUGAAAUUAUGAGUAUAGCCUGCACUGGGAUAUGAACUAGAAAUACUUAAAUUGAUUAAUAAACAUUUAAAGAGCUUGCGAGAUAGCAAAGGAGGGAAAGAAGGCAGCGCUUGGGAAAGAGAACAAUAACUAUGCUUUCUAUGUGUUCUGGUUCUUCAAAUACAAAGGGCACAGUAUGUGAACCUACUUUUGGGUGUUCAGAUGAUACUGACUAUAUAGGAAGCAUUAUUAAUCUGGAAAGUGAAAUUUACAAUCUAGUAAUAUUGACAUAAAAAAUAUUACUGAGUCAGGAGAAUAAAGCAAGCGACCUUGGAAAGACACAUGUUAGCUGGAGAAUAAAGAGCACUGAUAAGCUUGUAAUAUAUUCUCUUUUCAAUUUAAAGAGGUUUUAUGGGCUGCUAACAUCUGAAAAAUGGAUUCUAAUGCAUGUAUGGAAGCAGAUUACAAAACCUAAGAGUAUAGGCUAUGGAGUUGGUCAUCUGGGUUCAGUGGCUUCACCCAUCAUUUUUGACUAGUUGUUUGACUUUCUGUGCCUCUAUUUCUCUGUCAAAUGGGAAUAAUACAAAUACCUCACAUAGCCUCAUUGGGCUAUGCAAGUCUUAAAAGAGUUAAUUUUGUAGAUAAUAAGACCUCAAUAAAUGAAAACCGUAUUAUUCAUAUUAGAAUACUAUCUUAAUGCUGAUAUAGAAAAGAGAGAAAAUAUCCAAUGAUCCUACAGGCAAGAUAAUUCUUAAUAAUAAAAUGAAAACAACUAAAACAAACAUUAAAAACUGUAAUAUAUGCACUCAGGAGAAAAAUGCAAACUGUACUGUAGAGUAAAAAUGAAAAGUGAAAUCUAUUUUUCAUCUUUUCCUUCCUUCUUAAAAAAUUUUUGUGAGAUAUUUCAGAAAAAAUAUGUAAAUAGUUAUUAAACACUCUUUUAACAACACAAAAUGAUCAAACUCCAUACUGUACCUAUUUUCCUGCACCUUGCUUUCUGUUCCCCAGUUAAUAAUACAUCUUUGGGAGCUUUCCUUAACUGCACGUUCAGAACACUAUUACUUUUUAAAAGUAGCAUAGCAUUACAAGGUACAGAUGUAAAGUAAUUCAUCUAAAUAACUCUAUAAUGAUAAAAAUUUAGAUUGUGUUUGUAGCUGAUAAACAGUAUGACAAAAGAAUCUUAUUUGUGUGCUAUUUAGAAUAUUUCUUUGAAAAAUUCUGAGGGCAAAUUCUUAGAAGUGGAAUUUCUAGAUCAAGAACAUGGGCCUCUUAAAAUGUGACAUUGUGAAAAUGCCCUCCAAAGACAUUAUCAAUUAGACCUCCAUCUACACGCUCAAGAAAAUCUAAGAUGUUUUGCCCUGGAAAUUAUCCAAGCUUUAAAUUUUGCCAGUCUGGUAGUAUAAAAGCUUAUUAUAGGUUGAUUAACAUUCUAGCCUGAUUUUUCUAUGCUGGCUAUGAGAAAAUAAUGCUUUGAUCAUAAAAUAUCUUGCAUUAUUGUCAUUUAAAAAAUAUAAGCAUGGUAAAAAAUAAUAGUUCUUAUAAAAGUAGGUGUUUUUGUUUCUCCCCAUAGAAGGAUUUUCAAGCAUCAUUAUCCUAUCUUAUGAGAUGUUUAUGGUCAAGAAUAGUUAAUAACCUGAAUGCAGAAACAGCUCUCUCUCACUUCCAAAAUACUUCUUUCUUUCUUGGGCUAAUAUACACAGAGAGAGACACAAAUACACACAUGCACACACAAUAUAUACUGAAAGUUCACUGAUACCAAGAAACAGAGCAUAGUUACUUCAGUACAGUAUCACGCCACGAGUUACCAUUUAAAGGAUACCUAAUUGAUUAAGGAUAUUUUAAUGUUAAAUCCCACACUUGUCUGAAGAUUUUUUAACCAUUAAAGAUGUAAAAUAAAAGUCAAUAUAUGUACAAAUGAUAUUUUAUGUGCCUCUUUCAAUGGAGGAAACAGGAAACAGAUUUCUCAAAUUUGAGUUUAUCUGUUAAAUUUCCCUGGUAAUGUAUAUUUAAUAUCUAAGGAAAUUUUAUUAAAAUUUUCUCCUGAAAAUUAAAAAUAAAGGACUGCAUUUGCUUUCAUAAAAUUUUUAAUUCAUUUGGUUUCUGGAAUCAGUCAGAAACUGUCUUCACUCUCUUGUUUUCACACAAAAUGGCUGGUUGGUUUUUAUUUGUAAAUCUCGGUGGGUUUCUAACACAUUCAGAGAAAUAAAUAGCCAAUUUGGAAUAAUUCACUAAAUGUAAAUGUAGGAACUUUCUUAUGAACAUAGUAAAUAAGUGAUUACUAUGAAUCAUGCCUGUAUAUUUCAUAUUAGAGUACCAGAAGCCAUGGAAGAAGCAUCAUGACUUUUCUCACUGUUUUAAUGAUUGUAAAUGUCUAUGAGGAGAAUCUCUCUAGGUUUGUAGGAAAGGAUUGAGAAGUAAUGCAUGCAAAAGUUAAAGGUGAUUCUCUGUGGCUUUAGGAUUUGAGUCUUUAAUGAUUUUUUUUAUAGAAUAAUUUUCCUACAAAAUAAGAAAUUUAGUAUUUCUAACGUACACAAAAAUAAAAUACCCCUUACUAUUUAUAUUACUUUGUGAUAUACUAUUGUGUCUUCAGCAUUUUAAUUACCAAUUACAAAAUUUGAAUAACCCUUCAAAAUUCUGAUACAAGGAUAAAUCAUAUGAGAGCCCUCUGGUGGCCAAAACAGUGUCAUUAAACUUUCCAUAGAGAGGCUGGUUAGAGGAAGUCUGGAGGAAGACUCCUACUGAAAUUAUAAAACCUUAUCUGGCAUCUACUUUAUAUUGAUAUAUUUAUAGUCUAUUGAUUCAACUGAUAGGUUACAAAGUGACAAUCUAUUUUAAUGUCCGUUGCCUGAUUCACAAAGUAAUAUUUCACGUACAGAAUUCAAUAUUUAAAUUUAUGGAAAAUAUUAUGUUUUGAUAUAGAAAAUGUAGAAAAUUGUAGGUUAUUUUAGACCUACAGAAUUAUUGAAUCAUAGAAUUUUAUAGCAGGAAUAAAUAUUAGAGUUAAUUUAGUACAAUUUCCUCAUUUAUUGAAUGAGGAAAAUUAGGUCAAGGUAGGUUAAAUGCUUUGCAUAUGGUCACAGAGUAAUUAUCAGGAGUGCUGGGCUAGAGACCUUUUCAAUGUUUCAAUGUCAAGUGCUGCAGAAAAAAUGUGAUCAUUUAACUAUGGUUUUUUUUUUCUGUUUCCUGUACAUAGGAUUUUUACUUAUGUUUAUUUAACCUUAUUUUCAUGAUUUUUAAAAAAUCUUUCUUCUGAAAGUUUUUCCAGGUUAAGACAUGGGCAUCUGGUGACUUACAACUUAAAAGUAAAGCAGAGGUAUAAAAAGCAGAAUCAAAACAAUAUUCAUUUUUUACUGUUCUAUGGUAGAUUAUUAAAAGUUAGCAACUUAAAGCAACCCCAUUUAUGAAUUCUAAUUCUGUAGGUCAGAAGUUCAGAGAGUGUGCUUAGCCUCUGCUCAGGUGAUCACAGGUCUGAAAUCAAGGUAUUGGCUGGGCUUUGUGUAUAUUUGAGUAUAUUUGUGUCAUCUAGAGGCUCUGGGGAAGAACCUUCCAAGUUCAUUCAGCUUGCUUCCAAAAUUCAGUUCUUGUGUUAUAGGACUGCAGUCCCUUGUUCUUGUUGGAUUUUGGCUAAGAGGUUUCCCUCAGCUCCAAAGGCAGCUCUUAGUUCCUUGCCUUAUGGCUCCCUCCAUCUACCAAGCCAGCAAUAAAGAACCUUCUUUUGCUGAAUCCCUCCCACACUCCAACUCUCUUUUAGAAACUGCCUGGUUCCUUUUUAAAAACUUGCAUAUUUUCACAGGGCUUGUACAUGUUCAUAAAUCAGCAUCACCC